GGGGAUGUAGCUUUGCAGGAGAGUGCUGGUUUGGUUUACCACCAUGCAUGAAGCCCUGAGUUCAACUCCCAGCAUCACCA
rnacentral:tRNA from 1 species